ACAAGAAGGCAUCUUCUUGUUUUUAAAAGACCUAGCAAUAGGUAUGCUUAGGGAGGAGCUUGCGUCACAUUAGUUAGUUGGUGGGGUAAAGGCCUACCAAGACUAUGAUGUGUAGCCGGGCUGAGAGGUUGAACGGCCACAUUGGGACUGAGACACGGCCCAAACUCCUACGGGAGGCAGCAGUAGGGAAUUUUCGGCAAUGGAGGAAACUCUGACCGAGCAACGCCGCGUGAACGAUGAAGUAUUUCGGUACGUAAAGUUCUUUUAUUAGGGAAGAAUAAAUGAUGGAAAAAUCAUUCUGACGGUACCUAAUGAAUAAGCCCCGGCUAACUAUGUGCCAGCAGCCGCGGUAAUACAUAGGGGGCAAGCGUUAUCCGGAAUUAUUGGGCGUAAAGGGUGCGUAGGCGGUUAAAUAAGUUUAUGGUCUAAGUGCAAUGCUCAACAUUGUGAUGCUAUAAAAACUGUUUAGCUAGAGUAAGAUAGAGGCAAGUGGAAUUCCAUGUGUAGUGGUAAAAUGCGUAAAUAUAUGGAGGAACACCAGUAGCGAAGGCGGCUUGCUGGGUCUUUACUGACGCUGAGGCACGAAAGCGUGGGGAGCAAACAGGAUUAGAUACCCUGGUAGUCCACGCCGUAAACGAUGAGUACUAAACGUUGGGUAAAACCAGUGUUGAAGUUAACACAUUAAGUACUCCGCCUGAGUAGUACGUACGCAAGUAUGAAACUUAAAGGAAUUGACGGGACUCCGCACAAGCGGUGGAUCAUGUUGUUUAAUUCGAAGGUACCCGAAAAACCUCACCAGGUCUUGACAUGCUUCUGCAAAGCUGUAGAAACACAGUGGAGGUUAUCAGUUGCACAGGUGGUGCAUGGUUGUCGUCAGCUCGUGUCGUGAGAUGUUGGGUUAAGUCCCGCAACGAGCGCAACCCUUAUUGUUAGUUACCAGCACGUAAUGGUGGGGACUUUAGCAAGACUGCCAGUGAUAAAUUGGAGGAAGGUGGGGACGACGUCAAAUCAUCAUGCCCCUUAUGACCUGGGCUACAAACGUGAUACAAUGGCUGUUACAAAGGGUAGCUGAAGCGCAAGUUUUUGGCGAAUCUCAAAAAAACAGUCUCAGUUCGGAUUGAAGUCUGCAACUCGACUUCAUGAAGUUGGAAUCGCUAGUAAUCGCGAAUCAGCAUGUCGCGGUGAAUACGUUCUCGGGGUUUGUACACAC
rnacentral:rRNA from 1 species